UGGGGAAUUUUUCGCAAUGGGCGCAAGCCUGACGAAGCAACGCCGCGUGGGGGAUGAAGGUCUUCGGAUCGUAAACCCCUGUCGACCGGGACGAAAGCACCCGACCUAACACGUCGAGGUGUUGACUGUACCGGUGGAGGAAGCCACGGCUAACUCUGUGCCAGCAGCCGCGGUAAUACAGAGGUGGCAAGCGUUGUUCGGAAUUACUGGGCGUAAAGGGCGCGUAGGCGGUUUCGUAAGUCCCGUGUGAAAGCCCCCGGCUCAACUGGGGAAUGGCACGGGAAACUGCGAGGCUUGAGUUCGGGAGAGGGAAGCGGAAUUCCGGGUGUAGCGGUGAAAUGCGUAGAUAUCCGGAGGAACACCGGUGGCGAAGGCGGCUUCCUGGACCGACACUGACGCUGAGGCGCGAAAGCUAGGGGAGCAAACGGGAUUAGAUACCCCGGUAGUCCUAGCUGUAAACGAUGAGCGCUGGGUGUAGGGGGUUUUAACCCCCCCUGUGCCGAAGCUAACGCAUUAAGCGCUCCGCCUGGGGAGUACGGUCGCAAGGCUGA
rnacentral:rRNA from 1 species